GUUCAUGAUGAGCUUGACCGGGAAUGAAUGGUGAUGUAAAGGCACGUGUGCUGAUU
rnacentral:ncRNA from 18 species